rnacentral:rRNA from 1 species
UACGGAGGGUGCAAGCGUUAUCCGGAUUCACUGGGUUUAAAGGGUGCGUAGGUGGGCAGGUAAGUCAGUGGUGAAAUCUCCCGGGCUUAACCCGGAAACUGCCGUUGAUACUAUUUGUCUUGAAUAUAGUGGAGGUGAGCGGAAUAUGUCAUGUAGCGGUGAAAAUGCUUAGAUAUGACAUAGAACACCAAUUGCGAAGGCAGCUUGCUACACUAUUAUUGACACUGAGGCACGGAAAGCGUGGGGAUCAAACAGGAUUA